rnacentral:rRNA from 1 species
UACGAGGGGUCCAAACGUUAUUCGGAAUCACUGGGCUUACAGAGUUCGUAGGCGGUUCUACAAGUGAGGUGUGAAAGCCCUCGGCUCAACCGAGGAACUGCGCUUCAAACUGGAGAACUAGAGGGAGAUAGAGGUGAGCAGAACUGAUGGUGGAGCGGUGAAAUGCGUUGAUAUCAUCAGGAAUACCGGAGGCGAAGGCGGCUCACUGGGUCUCUUCUGACGCUGAGGAACGAAAGCUAGGGGAGCAAACGGG